rnacentral:lncRNA from 1 species
GGAAGAUAUUAUUUUGCUCCUCAAGCUUUUCUCAACUCUACCUAGGUUAAAAUGUACAACUCUUUUUUAUAAAAUUGCGUUCUACCUAAACUAAGCUUGUAGCUGAUUUCAUAUUACGCCAAGUUGAGAGGUAACAUCAAUGAAUACGUCCUUGCUACAGGGGAUUGUGAGGCCACCCAUUGGAUGAUCAAACCCAAAUUCUUCUCCAGCUUGACUUAACAAAUCUUGAAAAGAAGGUUGGUUCAAGUAUGAUAUUGGAAUGAUGAAUCUCUUAUUUUCAUCCUCCCCUACAUAUACUGCAAAAUGACCUUUUGGAAUAUCCAAUACUGAUUGAUUUCCCCUUGAUGAAGUCCGUCGAAGAAAAUUAUUCGAAUGAAUAAUAUAAGGUAUAUGGAUGGCCAUGGUCCUGGCAGGGUUUCUUCUCUUGAUAAUAGGAAGUUAAGAGGAAAUUCUUGAACGUUUAGAAGAUGUAAAAGAUUGAGAUGGUCGUGAGGGACUUGUGUUUUGUUGCCCUUUAAGAUACACGUAUAUAUAGAUCAAUGGUGCUCUGUGGCAAUCCUUUGCUUCUAAAGAAUGAAGAGGCAUUUGGACGGAGACCAGAUGACCAGA